AUCCAGCUGACGAGUCCAAAACGGGACCAAACACGUGUUCCGGAU
rfam:Schistosoma haematobium scaffold3365_4, whole genome shotgun sequence.